UCCGUAGGUGAACCUGCGGAAGGAUCAUUACCACACC
rnacentral:rRNA from 1 species